AGUGAACGCUGGCGGUAGGCCUAACACAUGCAAGUCGAACGGCAGCACAGUAAGAGCUUGCUCUUACGGGUGGCGAGUGGCGGACGGGUGAGGAAUACAUCGGAAUCUACUUUUUCGUGGGGGAUAACGUAGGGAAACUUACGCUAAUACCGCAUACGACCUACGGGUGAAAGCAGGGGAUCUUCGGACCUUGCGCGAUUGAAUGAGCCGAUGUCGGAUUAGCUAGUUGGCGGGGUAAAGGCCCACCAAGGCGACGAUCCGUAGCUGGUCUGAGAGGAUGAUCAGCCACACUGGAACAGAGACACGGUCCAGACUCCUACGGGAGGCAGCAGUGGGGAAUAUUGGACAAUGGGCGCAAGCCUGAUCCAGCCAUACUGCGUGGGUGAAGAAGGCCUUCGGGUUGUAAAGCCCUUUUGUUGGGAAAGAAAAGCAGCAGGUUAAUACCCCGCUGUUCUGACGGUACCCAAAGAAUAAGCACCGGCUAACUUCGUG
rnacentral:rRNA from 1 species